AGAACAAAAAACUAUUAAAAAAAAAUGAAAUAAUUGAUAAAUUACUCGAUUAAAAAUUUUACACAAAGAACACAUAAUAAACAGGUUAAUUGAUAACAAAAAUGUAAUUAAAACCACAGAAAAUGAGUAAUCAACUCAUAAAUAGCUAUUAAAUGCAAUCAGAUUAAUGUGUUGUUUACUGAAAAAACAAUGUUUUCUAUUGCUAAAAUUUAUUGCCUACCUAAAACGCCUUAAACGUUUUAUAAAUAAGGUAUUUUAUUUGGUAUAAAAAUAAACAUUACGCGCCGUAUUGAAGUUUGAUUACCGUUCAUAACGUCAUUUUGCCCUCGAAGAAAAAAGAACCUAAUAACAUUAUACAUCACAUACGAUCGAUGCAUCAGAAAUAACUAGAAUUCUAACGGUGAAUACUUCAUCUGAUCCAUCAACGCAAGAGAGCAGGUCUUCAAUUAUCAUAAUAUGCAGUUACUAUUUCUUUUUAUACAAUUUUGCGUAGCUUUAUUUAAGUACAGUGCACAUUUCUUUUAAUAGUAUACAGCAACUUCUCAAAACUAUACAUAUACAAACCAGCACAAAUAUUUACUUAAUUUUAUAUAUUUUCAUUAUAGCCAAAAGGUUUUUUGUUUUAACCAUUCAAUGAAUAGAAUUGCACACGGUAUUUAUCGCAGUCCACAGAUAUUUCUAUAACUUGUUAAAUGUGCGCGUUUCAUCAUUUUUAUACAUAUUUAAUUGAACUAAAUUUCCCAACUGUGCAAAUUAAUUAAAGAUGAAUGAUAAAACAACACUUUUUGUUAUUAUUAUUAGGUUUAACAACAGGAUAGCGUUAGUACGCCUGUUUAACUCACUGAUCCACAACACGCUGUGAUACGUUCAUCUACUGAAGUUAUUUAUAAUAAGUGUAAACGAUAUCACAAAAUCAGCAAACUUAUAAAAUAUACAUGUACAAGGUUCAAGGACGCGUCAUCUUUGACCGACGUCGUCAGGUUGCUCACCUCAUUUUUUAUUUGCUCAAAAUAAAAAUCUUGCGAUACUCGGAAGAAACGUUUUAUAACCUAAAAAAUAGCCGAUCGGGAUUUUCUACACACUCAUAGCAGUGGUAUUUUCACACUCUACUCACGCACCAAAGUUUGGAAAUUGAUCUAUUAAUCGUGAACAACCUCUAAAUUACUCACGUGGUGAAAAAACGAAAGAAGAGAUAAUCUAAAUACGUCGUGAUUUAUAAAAUGCGUAUAAGAAAUAAUAAUAGUUUGGGUAUUUUAGAUAAAAUCUUCCAUAGCAGUUUAAAAUAGAAUAAACGAACCCUAUUCUCGCGGUAUAAAUGCAUAAAGCCUCUUAAGUAUAAACUUAAAAGACGUAUACGAUGAGAAUCGUAAAAAAUUGACUAAUAUUGUAAUCGAAUUUGGUAUUGUAAAGCCGUAAAAUGAUUUUUUUUUAUGAAUUUUUUACGAGGAAACAUAUUUUUUGCUAUUAAUAUUCGAUCGAUUGCUAUCGUAUUUUUCACCAGAAAACAAAACAAAACAUUUUAUAAAUCAAUAAUUUAUAAUUAUACAAUAAUAAAUUAGAAAAUCGAUAUUUUUUCGGGAGGAGACCAAAAUAUGUAAACAUAUAUAUAGGAAGUCAGGUUGGAUUUGGUUGAGUUUAUACAUAGUUAAAAAAAAAUCGGUAAAGUGGAUCACCCUCCGGAUUUGGCCUUGAUAUAAACACAAUGCAUAGUAUGUGCUAAAUAUAAACAAAAUAUUAUCUUGUCAAGAUAAUAUCGUAUUUAUAUUUUGAACUAGCGCAUGCAGAUUUCGUGUAGUACUUAUACAUUUUAGUGCUAAUGGCUUAAAAAUGCAUUUAGUAUUUGUCAUAUUAGCCAUGUGUGUUUGUUAAAUUAUAAUGGGGAUAUUUACUUUGUAGAAGAAACCAUUUAAUAGGUCAUGGGUGUUUGCAGAGUAAAUGCAUUAUGUGUGCACCGGUACAAAAUAUUAUAUGAUUUACGGCAAGCAAUGUGUUAUGGCUUAGUAUCAAUAGCCGUUUUAAUUAGUUUCAAUUUCAUAACAGUGUGAAGAAUCGUUCGGCGAACCGAAUGCACUUGAACUUGGCAAUCGUGCUUCCGCGACGGAUUUACUCGGGUUAUCGUUCUGGUCACAUGCGUUUUGCGGUGUACUACAUAAUAAUAACUACCAGGGAAAAAAAUAAAUAAAAUAAUACAGAAAUAAAAGUAUGAUCGAGAGCACCUUGGGCAAGACGCCGCACAAGAUAAACGUAACAAACCGGAACAGCAGAAAACGAUACUUACAUGGCUAAGCAUUUCGCUGUGUAUAACAUUAUACGUACCGUAUUUGUAAUGACGACGAUGACCGCUUAAUGGAUCAAUUAUUAUUAUUUCUAUUAUGACAGACACUGAUAUUUUCGACGAAUAGUUUUUUUUUUUAUAAAGAAUGCCAGUAAAAUUAGCAAAACAAACAAAAAUAAGUUGUAAUUAACCGAACGGGACGAUUGAGUUUUCAACGGUCGAUCGUUACACUUUUUUUUUUGUUCAUUCCUUUUGACAAGCAAAAUACAAAUUUUUAAUAUUCGCAAUAAGAAGAUGUUGUUUAAGUUAAGAUAAAAGAUUAAAUAAUUAUUUCUCUUAUAUUGCAUAAAAUUAACGUUUUUCUGUUAGUUGGUUUUACCUAUUUAUGUACAUUUUCUUAGAAUAUAAAAUGAAAAUUAUUUCAUGGUGUCAUUCUAGUUUCGGUUCAAUUCUGCGCUAUGUUAUUUCAAAAAAAAAAGGCGUUAUUUCAGAUUUCACUAAAAUGUCCAGGUCUCCACCCUCGAAAUGACGCCUCUGACUCUAAACUAUAAAAGUUCUUACUUUUCAUAAGGAAUCAUAUCUAUCAGAAUUAAUGUCUGUUAAAACGCAAUGUUUGGUUUAGUACUUUGCAUUAUCUUUGUCUAUCUCCAUCGGUACCGAAUGAGGCGAUCGCGUUGCUUCACUGGCUAGCAACGACAAUGCGAACAUUUUGCACCAAGGGGGUAAAAGUGAAGUAAAGUGCCUAUGCCGUGUGCAGAGCGAAUGUGUGUGAUAGUGUAAAUCGUAUAUUGGGUGAAAUGGAAAAAGAUACACACACUGCCCCCGUUGGCCUUGCAAAAAUAAUCUAUUACAGACUCGCUUUUAAUCGGAUUAUCCGUGACUGAGGGGAUACAACAUAUAAGGGAUAAGGUUAUUAAGUCUUCAGUAGCUGCCAUACACAACAGGGGCGAAGCACAUUUAUACACUGCGAUUUUCCAUUUACCAGAUAUACAUCGUAACAAAUUACUCACUUCCUCAGGCUAAGGGCAUUCUAGUUAAGACUGCAACGCGAUCUUCGAACUACGCAAGAGCAUUUUGCCGUGAAAUUGAAACAGAACAAAGAUAAAUCGAUCGUAGAACUGUACAAGUCACUCGAAGUUUUACAAUAUAACAGAUGAACUGCCAGAAUUGAUAUUAUUUGACCGAUACCAUAUCCUAAGAACGCAGCCAGUACAAUGUGGUCGUGGUGCCUCAGUGUCACCAUACAAUCAGCAGCGAAUGAUCUUAUUUGAACUUCUUUGUCGUGAUUAUGGCCGUUAAGCCCGUAAAGAGGUACAUCACGAUAGAAUUAACAGAAUAACGGAUAUUAACAGCUCAAUAACGUAUCUUUUUAUUAAUGCGCGAGCAUGCAUUGGAUACAUAUUCUUUGAACAAGUAUUGGUACUUCUAGUGGUCUAUAAGUUUUGUCAUAUACAUGUAAAGGUACUAUUGACUGUAUCGUCCAUUACCGUAAUAUCAAUUUGCAUUCGUUUAUAUAAAUAUAAGCAAGUUUAUACAUGUUUACCUAAAAUACAGUAAUACUCGUAAAGAAAUGCAUCUAAAAAUAAAAACGUACAUUUUUCUAUUACGUUGAAAAGCCAUUCCAGCUUAGACAAAGAAUUAAUGGCACUGAUCACGACGGACGUCAAAUAAUUUAAAACAAUUUAUUCUCAUAAAGAAUUCUUUCUCGGGAAAUCUUACACAGAUAGUGAACGUAUUUUUUAGUGAACCGUUACUGAAGAUUUCUGUAUUUGAACGAGUAUGAGUUGCUUUUUAAGUUUUCCAUACAAAACGAAUGUCGGUCAUCAUAUCGAAAGUUCUAUAAAAGUAUAAUAGAAAAUAUACUAAUAAAAGGGAUAGGAGUUUCAAGUAACUUUUCUUUUCAAAACUCAUUUACUAAUUUAUUGUUUAUAGCGCAUUACAUAUCAAUAAAAUGGCAUAUCUGAAAGUUUUGCAAACUUUUUCAAAGAAAUUCACAUGAAGUCAGUACAAGCAAUCAAAAAUAUUGAAUGUUUCAAAAGAAGGAAAAAGUUAUAUGAUAAAAAUAGUGCCAUUGAAAAUUGCUAUAACUUAUUAAAUUAAUGUCAUAAGUUUGUUUUUGUGUUCCAUUGUAUUAUACUACUGUGUGGAUUGUCUCUAGUAAAAUAAAAAAAUCAUGUGAUAGAUCAAACAAACUUUAAAACUCAGCAAUUUACAGUAUCCAUCAAAGUUGUUUUAAAAUUAGUUAUCUUAUCAAAUGAAUAUACAAGAAUUUCGUCGUAAAUAUGAAUAGCUUUUUUAAAAAUAAAAAAAUAUUUGUAAUACUAACUAAAAAAUUGUAAUAAUUUAUCCAAAAUUACUUAAAACAGUCGAAUGUGAAAUCAUUCUAAAAAUUUAACGCCAUUAGGGUAGGUAAAUUGUAUUUAUAAUGUCAAAUUUUCUUCAGUAUGUCAAUAUGUUUUGGGCGUUAAUAAUAGAAACACUGUAAUGCGUACAUCACGUUUUAAGUAUAUUUUUCGUACUGUAGAGUCGAACAUUAUAAAAAAUGUUUAUUUUUUACUCAAAUAAAUAUUUGUAUUAGUAUUGGUCACAACACUCAAA